CUGGUUCAAAAUCAUCAAUUUAACACUGUAAACAAGAGCGACAAGCUUAAGCGUGAGAGCAGAAGAGAGAAAAUGAUGCGACCAGAAGAUCAGGGGACGCUACUAAAUCCAAAACGGUUCCUGCGUGCCUUCGCGCCUUUCCCGCGCUCCACAUGGAUCCAUCCUCAUGUGCCCACUGACAACUUUGAUCGUGUCUGUAGAAACAUCUGGAGAAGAAGAGAGGAAGCCGACAAGGAGUUUGGCACAUGUUCUGUUUUACCGGAGAGACGGGAGAUGAAGAAAGGCUUGUCGAGUCCAGACAGCAAACUAAGCCACCGGACCAAGGAGCAGCAAAAAGAGACAAAUGAUUUGGGUCUGACCACAGAGCAUAAGAAGGACAAGCAGCAAUACCACACUGACUUCAUCCUUCCUUGCCCUUAUCUCUCGGGCCGCAGACAUCCCCAUGUUGCCAAGCCUACAUGGGUACUGAACCCUGUGAUGGAAGCAGAGAUGAAAUGCAAUGAUGGGGAGGCAAAAGGGACAAGAAUUUUGCAGAAUGAUGUGCAGGAUAAACAAAGAACUGUGGAAAAUUCCCAGAAGAAGAUUUGGGUUGGCCAGUCCAGUAACGGAGCAGUCAAACAAAGCUCUGCACAUCAGCCUCGACCUCUGACACAAAAUCCUGUCUACACCCCACACUCAGAUGACCGCAUCACAUACCUGCAGGAGAAGAAAGACCCUCCACUUCCCUCCAGAUUGCUUAGAGAUACAUGUGAAAGUGAGGAUGAGCAGGAUACAAGAAGCAGUUCUGACAGCAGUUCUAGUGAUGAUCACAAUGUGGUCACUUUACCUGGGUUGCGAACUUUUGCCACUGAUAGCAGUGAUGGGGACUCAGUGAGUGACAACAGAGAGUGCGAGGAAGAGAAAAAUGAAAUUCCACUCUCUGCUGAAUUAAGUUCCAACAGCGAGCAGGAUUCCCCAUCUUCCAGCACAGAGAAGGACAUUCCUCCAAUAUCUACCAUCAAGUCUGGCAUUCUACCAUGUCCCACGGAGCCUCCAGCCUCAGGGAAGGUGCAUGGCCAGCGGGAGAUUCCCCUUUCAUUCCACCCACAUGACAUCCCCACUGCCACUUUGGCAAGUGGAGUGACCGCCCAUGUACAGGCCCCUGUCCAAGGCAAAGCAGCAACACCUCAGGAAAACUCAAAAACCAGUGAAACAGCAGCAGCCUCAUUGCAGCAGGGGGCCUAUGACCUACUGGCUGACUUCCCGGCUCUCCAGCCCCCAAAGAAAUCUUUAGCAUUGGGUGUAUUGCAUGAUGGGAAGCCCAAACCUAAAGAUGCAAAAGGGAAAAGAGGGCUUACUCUCUCACCAAACCACUGCCAAGAGAGUAGGGCUUCCCAUCAGAGGAGGAUGGAAUAUGUGCCCCAUGAGGUCUCCUCCAUCUGUGCAAAAGAUCAGAAUCCCGUGCUGGACCUUCAAACAUUUGGCUCGACCUGCCAAAGCAACUCUCCAACCAUCAGCUCUGGGCAACCGAAGGCCAACAAUCAGUUGCCCCCUAGAGCUGCAGGUACAGAUGGUGUGGGUGUUAAUGCCAGGUCCUGGGCUAGCGCUGCCAAGGCGGGCAUGAAGCAAGCAGAUGCCCCUCAGGAGAAAGCCAGACCUUGUACCUUUCAGCAGAUAGUUAACAUUAACAGAGCCAAAGCUGGCUAUUCUGCAGCCCACAACUUUGCCAACAAAGGGACUCCCUACCAUCAGGCCUUCCGUCAUUUGGCACCUAUGUAUCAUGGCCCUCGACCCCGCAACCCAAACCAGUUCAUUAGCCCUGGUUACCCCUACACCCAUCAGCAGUUUGGAGCUCGGACGCAUCGAGCCAACUGUCCUCCAGGAUUCAGAUGUCCCCGUUUUCCUUUCCAACAGUGAGCAUGUGGGAUUGAGGCUGAUGACAGUAGGAGUUGAUAACCGGAACUCCACAACAAAACGCGGAGGGUGACUAUCAGUGUCGCAACCCGAUCUGUGUCAGACACGAGGCAGGGCGAGAGGCCAGAGGUAACCCGUCCAAGUACAGCCACAUGUGACGACAGCCGGUGUGAAGCAAAGUCAUGUGUUUCUGCUGAAGACAUUGUUGACUAUAAUUGCCUCAGUUGUUUUCCCCUGCGAGCAACCUAAUAAAUAUUUGUUUCAUAUGUA